rnacentral:rRNA from 1 species
GACGAACGCUGGCGGCGUGCCUAAUACAUGCAAGUCGAGCGAGCUUGCCUAGAUGAAUUUGGUUCUUGCACCAGAUGAAACUAGAUACAAGCGAGCGGCGGCCGCGUUAGUAACACGUGGGUAACCUGCCCAAGAGACUGGGAUCACGCCUGGAAACAGAUGCUAAUACCGGAUAACAACACUAGACGCAUGUCUAGAGUUUAAAAGAUGGUUCUGCUAUCACUCUUGGAUGGACCUGCGGUGCAUUAGAUCGUUGGUAAGGCAACGGCUUAACAAGGCAAUGAUGCAUAGCCGAGUUGAGAGACUGGUCGGCCACAUUGGGGCUGAGACGCGGACCAAACGCCUACGGGAGGCAGCAGUAGGGAAUGUGCCACAAUGGACGCAAGUCUGAUGGAGCAACGCGGCGUGAGUGAAGAAGGGUUUCGGCGCGUAAAGAUCUGUUGGUAGUGAAGAAAGAUAGAGGUAGUAACUGGACUUUAUUUGACGGUAAUUACUUAGAAAGUCACGGCUAACUACGUG